rnacentral:RNase_P_RNA from 1 species
GAGGUGGACGGAAGGUCGCUGGCGGACACGCACCGUCCGCGGGAGGAAAGUCCGGGCUCCACAGGGCGGGGAGGUCGCUAACGGCGACCCGGGGCGACCCGAGGGAAAGCGCAACAGAAAUCACACCGCCGAUGGCCGACGAAGCCGCCGCCUGGUGAGGGCGGCGGGGGAGGCACAGGCAAGGGUGAAAUCGUGGGGUAAGAGCCCACGCGCGACGGCCAGGUGACUGGCGGCGAGGCAAGCCCCUCCCGGAGCAAGCUCGAAUAGGGAUGCCAUCGAGGGCGGCCCGUCCGAAGGCCGUCGCCGCGAGGCGGCGGCCGGGCAUCCGGGUGAGAGCGCUCGAGCGGCGCGGCAACGCGUCGCCUAGAUGAAUGGCCUUCGUCCGGCGCGGGGCGACCCGCGUCGGGAACAGAACCCGGCUUACAGUCCACGCUCGCAU